CAAAGCCGAAGCUGAGCGGAGGCUGAAGGGGCUGUAACGCGAAAUCAGUUUGCUGUAAUGUCAGAGAUAGAAAUCAGCGAGAAGCCGCGCAGGAGCGUGUUAUCCCGGCAGUAGAUACGAGCCCAUUCUGGAUCAUCUUAGAGGGCCUGUUUUCUCCAGUUCUGCAAAGACGUCAGUACUGCUGGAUUCCUGAGCCCAUUCAAAGAGCCUCUGAGAUAAAGGAGGUGUAUGAAUUUUGCCAGGAAAAACAAACUGGCUAACAAAAGAAGAGAGGAACACAACACCAAACACCAAACGACCAUCCACUGAGACAUCUGAACAGCUACAGACCACUCCUGCCAGCACAGAGCCCAGGUGGGGACAGUGCUUGACUUUCUGCCCUGCGCUGAGUACACACAGCGACAUGCACUGGGAUCACCUACACAGGGCCAGAGGGAGAAAGAGGAGCACCUCAGAGGAGAUACAAGGCCAAGAAAUUCCCCAUGCUAAGCUGCCUGAGGGGUGCAUUAAGCACAGGAGGCUAACCCAGCAUUGCAACACCAACCUGCAUCCACCUCUGAAUUCGUAA
rnacentral:lncRNA from 1 species